ensembl:ncRNA C18A11.11 ncRNA
ACAGAGUUCCCCUGCGUAAAAAAAGUUGGACUGGUCAAGGCCAAGAACAAAAUGUUAAGUGAUAGGAGAUGGACAAGGAUGCCAAGUGGGUAUGCGGUGAGAGUCGGAGAGGGCAGGCACAUCCACGGGAGCAUCCCAAGUCUCUGUACUAGCGGGACUCCGCCGCCGUUGCCGAGGCUGCAUU